UACAGAGGUCUCAAGCGUUGUUCGGAUUCAUUGGACGUAAAGGGCGCGUAGGCGGCCUUGCAAGUCGGUUGGUGAAAGCCCGGGGCUCAACCCCGGAGGUGCGGCCGAGACUGCAGGGCUGGAGGCCGGAAGAGGAGGGUGGAAUACCCAGUGUAGAGGUGAAAUUCGUAGAUAUUGGGUGGAACACCGGUGGCGAAAGCGGCUCUCUGGUCCGGACCUGACGCUGAGGCGCGAAAGCGUGGGGAGCAAACAGG
rnacentral:rRNA from 1 species